UAGGGAAUCUUCCACAAUGGACGCAAGUCUGAUGGAGCAACGCCGCGUGAGUGAAGAAGGUUUUCGGAUCGUAAAGCUCUGUUGUUGGUGAAGAAGGAUAGAGGCAGUAACUGGUCUUUAUUUGACGGUAAUCAACCAGAAAGUCACGGCUAACUACGUGCCAGCAGCCGCGGUAAUACGUAGGUGGCAAGCGUUGUCCGGAUUUAUUGGGCGUAAAGCGAGCGCAGGCGGAAUGAUAAGUCUGAUGUGAAAGCCCACGGCUCAACCGUGGAACUGCAUCGGAAACUGUCAUUCUUGAGUGCAGAAGAGGAGAGUUGAAUUCCCUGUGUAGCGGUGGAAUUCGUAGAUAUAUUGAAGAACACCAGUGGCGAAGGCGGCUCUCUGGUCUGCAACUGACGCUGAGGCUCGAAAGCAUGGGUAGCGAACAGG
rnacentral:rRNA from 1 species